rnacentral:rRNA from 1 species
GAUGAACGCUGGCGGCGUGCCUAAUACAUGCGAGUCGAACGCUGAAGGAGGAGCUUGCUCUUCUGGAUGAGUUGCGAACGGGUGAGUAACGCGUAGGUAACCUGCCUGGUAGCGGGGGAUAACUAUUGGAAACGAUAGCUAAUACCGCAUGACAACAGUUAUUGCAUGAUAACUGUUUAAAAGGGGCAACUGCUCCACUACCAGAUGGACCUGCGUUGUAUUAGCUAGUUGGUGAGGUAACGGCUCACCAAGGCGACGAUACAUAGCCGACCUGAGAGGGUGAUCGGCCACACUGGGACUGAGACACGGCCCAGACUCCUACGGGAGGCAGCAGUAGGGAAUCUUCGGCAAGGGACGGAAGUCUGACCGAGCAACGCCGCGUGAGUGAAGAAGGUUUUCGGAUCGUAAAGCUCUGUUGUAAGAGAAGAACGAGUGUGAGAGUGGAAAGUUCACACUGUGACGGUAUCUUACCAGAAAGGGACGGCUAACUACGUG